UACGAAGGGGGCUAGCGUUGUUCGGAAUCACUGGGCGUAAAGCGUAUGUAGGCGGAUUGUUAAGUCAGGGGUGAAAUCCCGAGGCUCAACCUCGGAACUGCCUUUGAUACUGGCUUUCUUGAGUUCGGGAGAGGUGAGUGGAACUCCUAGUGUAGAGGUGAAAUUCGUAGAUAUUAGGAAGAGCACCAGUGGCGAAGGCGGCUCACUGGCCCGAAACUGACGCUGAUGUACGAAAGCGUGGGGAGCAAACAGG
rnacentral:rRNA from 1 species